AACAAGCAGGGUGGUGACGGACCAGGCCCCUUGGGGACACUUGGUGUGAGUGUGUGAGUGGCUGCUCUGCUUGCCACUCAGCAGGUGGCGACCUGCAGGGUGGUCACCUUCACAGGACAUGCUGGCAGAGCCAGCGCUUUUCAAGGUGACCACUCCCCCUAGUCUUUUUAGGCCCUUGGAGAAUGGUGCCCAGCCAGGCAGGUGGCACAGAGCAACCUGUUCUCCUGCAAUGGCCCUGAGCCUGACCAUGCUUCCUCUGACCCCCAAGGGAGGCCACACUAGUCAGAGGAAGUGUCAGGAGAGCCUGGGUUGCAGGAUGGACUCAAGUCCGCCACCCAGCGGAACGUCAGGCAGCCCCUACUUACGCUCCCUCAUCCAGGAGCCCGGGGAUGUCAAGUCUUCAAGUGGAGAUGGAGUGCAAUGGCAGAUGCUCAACAUCCCAGGCCAGUUAAAGACAACCUGGGCUACAUGGUCAAGCUCUGUCCAAACCAGACUAACAAAAAUAGUGGUAUAAACAGCCUAUAAAUGUGAAGACGGCCUCAGUCUCAGAA
rnacentral:lncRNA from 1 species